UCUUGACUAGUAUAUCGGUUUAGUACACGCGCCUGUCAUUCUGCCUAUUCCUGGCAAAGAUAAUCUUGACCGCGCGAAAGCUGGGUUCGACUCCCAGGUCGAGAG